rnacentral:lncRNA from 1 species
ACUAGCUCUUUUGUAUGCAGGACUUGGUACUGAUACUCUAGAAUACACAUCAAAUGGGCGCUACAUGAUAGUAGGUGGACGAAAAGUGCAUAUUGCAAUGGUGGAUAUGUGGAGUAUGGAACUCAUCAAGGAAUUUCAGGUCAACUUUUCGUAUUAAGCAAUUUGUCAGUAUGUAGGUUUGCUUCUCUUUUGUCCUUUUUUCUCAGUAAAAUGUUCAGUAUUGAGUUUCAGUGCUUUGCUCAUAAAUUAGACUCGCGAGAGUGAUCUUAGUCUGAUCCUCGAUUUUGGUGGAAGUUAGCAGCAUUAAAACUUUGCCCAGACAAUUAUAAACUGAUAAUCUCUAUAUGUUCCUAUCAGGAGGAACGGAGGGAUGUGAUUUGGAAAGAUUGACAUUUCCUGUUUUGAGGAAUGGGAAACACUGAAUUACACACUUUAGAUCUUGCUUGGAACUUUGGUAUGUAAAGCACUCUGUUUGGGUUUGUUGGUAUGCUAACAUAACUAACUGGCUUCGCCUUCUCAUGAACUACGCUGAGGUUAGCUUCUGUUUUUACAUGGGUCAUUCUUUAUCAUCUUUUACAGUGAAAAGUGGCAUUAUGAACUUGAGUGAGAUCUAUAUUGAGCAUAAGUGGGAAAAUAUUCCAUCGGUUGUUACAACAUUACUACUUGGUGGUGCGCUUGGUCCUUUUGAAACUCUACAACUUGUUUUCUGUACAGAACCUAGACUUCAUAGGUGUGAAAGUGGUAAAUGUUCCUUCAUGCCUUUUUUUUGCUUUUGAUAGUGUGAAGUGUGAACUACUUUAUUUUAGGACAAACAUUAGCUAUUGACAUCAGCUUUUCCCAUGUAUCUCAAAAACUAAUUGAUUUCCCUUCAUCGAAAUCUGAUAAUUGAGGGCUCUUCUAUUAUUAAUAUUGAGCGGGUAGCAUCUUGGUUACUAAAUGAAUCAUUCUCAACUCUUUUGUUUUUUGCAGGUUUGUGUUCAAAAUAAAAAUGACAUCCAGUGUACGAGCAAGGUUGAUUGAUGAUUUGGCAGAUAUCGAGUAUGUCCUAUUUAUACUUCUAAAGUUCAAUUUUAACCAAACUUGUCUCGAUUAGUUAUACUUUGCCGAUUAUUCUGCUCAAAUCAACACCUAACUAUAAUAGUAACACUGUAUGCUCACUUCUUAGAAUUUAUAUUCUAAUUUUUUAAAUUGGAAUAAUCUCGAUUUCAAUGUAUAGCAACUGUAACCUCUAAAUAAACUAAAAUGGUAUGAUUUCUAUUUUGCUAAAAUUCUUCCAGGAAGGUUUGUUAGGAAACAAAGUCCUCUCUUCCAUGAAGUUCAUAAUGCUACACUUUAGUUAGUAUCUUUUGAUUUAUGACACUUUAAUUAGUAUCUUUUGAUUUAUGACACUUUAAUUACUACAUCUUGAUGUUACAUUCUGCAGAUAUCUUCUUGAUUAAAUUGUGAUGGUAGUGGGAAGAUAAUUGCUGAAAAUACACAAGUUGUUCUUGUUCAGGCAAAGUCCAAGUUGAACGAAGUAUAAAUAAGUAGACAUAUAUACCGGGAGGUAUUGAGGAUGGUUCAGCCAUUCGACUUAUCGGAGGAGUUAGUGUUGAUAAGCAAAGGCAAGCACUGGGCAAUAAAUACAAAGUUAUGUAAAUUCAUGAACCCCUUAUGUAGUUUUCCGCAUGUUUAGUUUAAACAAGUAACUUCAUCAGAGCUAUACCUAGGUUGUCGUACUGAGAUAUCUGUCAAUUGACAAGGUGCUUAUCAAUUUGUAUGCUUGAAGUAGA